ACGCGACAGAGGCGGUACACGUAGUGCCAGUCGUAAAACUCGCGUAACUUUGGGUCGGUCGCGAAGGUAGCGAUUCGAUAAAUUCAUCAUCCGAGACUUCCCUCGCUCCCCUCUCAGCUUAAAUCCCAACUUAAAUAGACGCGAGAAGCGUGUACCGGACUAAGUUCGAGCGAGUUUGAUUACAAGAGAACGUGUCUCCGACUGCACUUACCGUCGGUAAAUAAGCUGCUACUGAAUUGUUAAAGCUCAUCAAAGAAUCUCCCGCUAUUCGCGCAUUUACAAGUUUUCGCGAGACGCAGGUGUUUAAACAAACAAUCUGCAUGUCGGGCUUGAUCACGUCGAAAGAUUCCUCCAUCUGGUAAUAAGCGACUAUCAAAAAUCGCAUUAGUCGGACAAGUUUACGUUUGAUGAUCGAGUCCGGUUGAGCUUCUUGAAGCAGCAAAAGUCUGGACCAGUCCGAUUUUAAUGCGCCGAAAGGCAAGGCAGAAAUCGGACACUUGAAUCCAGCAGCCAUCAUUUUUACAGUAGGCACAUCCACGAGAUUAAUCUUGGUCAAAUAAUCCUCGAUCUCGUCGAUAUCGAGACUGACCACUUCUAAACAACGGUCCGGUAAACUAUCGACGCAUUUUA